rnacentral:rRNA from 1 species
GACAGAGGGGGCAGGCGUUGCUCGGAAUUACUGGGCGUAAAGGGCGCGUAGGCGGGAUGGCAAGUCGGUCGUGAAAUCCCUCGGCUCAACCGAGGAACGUCGAUCGAUACUGCUGUUCUUGAGGAUUGCAGAGGAGACUGGAAUUCCCGGUGUAGCGGUGAAAUGUGUAGAGAUCGGGAGGAACACCAGUAGCGAAGGCGGCACUCUGGGCCGGUACUGACGCUGAGGAGCGAAAGCGUGGGGAGCAAACAGG